rnacentral:rRNA from 1 species
UGGGAACGCGAAGAACCUUACCUAGACUUGACAUCUCCUGAAUUACCCUUAAUCGGGGAAGCCCUUCGGGGCAGGAAGACAGGUGGUGCAUGGUUGUCGUCAGCUCGUGUCGUGAGAUGUUGGGUUAAGUCCCGCAACGAGCGCAACCCUUAUUGUUAGUUGCUACCAUUUAGUUGAGCACUCUAGCGAGACUGCCCGGGUUAACCGGGAGGAAGGUGGGGAUGACGUCAAAUCAUCAUGCCCCUUAUGUCUAGGGCUACACACGUGCUACAAUGGCUGGUACAGAGAGAUGCUAAACCGCGAGGUGGAGCCAAACUUUAAACCAGUCUCAGUUCGGAUUGUAGGCUGAAACUCGCCUACAUGAAGCUGGAGUUGCUAGUAAUCGCGAAUCAGAAUGUCGCGGUGAAUACGUUCCCGGGUCUUGUACACACCG